AAAACAUGCGGAUCCCAGGGGAUCUGGGUCGACCCUAAGACGGAGUCGUUUUGGGGCAUUUCAGACCACCUUGAAACGGUGCUGUUUUGACGCCCUAUUUAAGUAAAAAAUGUUAAAAAAAAUUUCAUUUCUAAAUUGUUAAAAAAAAACUACUUUGCCCCCCCUUUUUUUUUUCUCUGAAAGGGCCUUUGAGUCCAGUCAUAGGAACGGCAGGCCUCCGUCGUGGUCGCCGGCGACGGUGACUACCGUUUCUA
rnacentral:lncRNA from 1 species